rnacentral:sRNA from 1 species
CAACUUCCAUCUGCUGAGGACAAAUAAAAUGAAUGUGCGUGUCCACUCCCCCGGCUGUUAAAAUUUUGCCUUCACCGGAAAUCACCUCUGUCCCCGCUCCGAUGACCAUGUGCGGAUCGACUCCAUCCAUGAUAUCAGGAUUUCCGCUUUUUCCGACACCGACAAUCCGGCCGUCUUUCACACCGACAUCCGCUUUGACAAUGCCUGUGUAAUCCAAUAGCACGACGUUGGUGAUAACCAAAUCCAAAGCGCCGUCCUUCCCUGUGAUUCUGCCGUUUUGGCCCAUGCCGUCGCGGAUUG